rnacentral:rRNA from 1 species
GACGAACGCUGGCGGCGUGCUUAACACAUGCAAGUCGAACGGAAAGGCCCUGCUUUUGUGGGGUGCUCGAGUGGCGAACGGGUGAGUAACACGUGAGUAACCUGCCCUUGACUUUGGGAUAACUUCAGGAAACUGGGGCUAAUACCGGAUAGGAGCACCUGCUGCAUGGUGGGGGUUGGAAAGUUUCGGCGGUUGGGGAUGGACUCGCGGCUUAUCAGCUUGUUGGUGGGGUAGUGGCUUACCAAGGCUUUGACGGGUAGCCGGCCUGAGAGGGUGACCGGCCACAUUGGGACUGAGAUACGGCCCAGACUCCUACGGGAGGUAGCAGUGGGGAAUAUUGCACAAUGGGCGGAAGCCUGAUGCAGCAACGCCGCGUGCGGGAUGACGGCCUUCGGGUUGUAAACCGCUUUCGCCUGUGACGAAGCGUGAGUGACGGUAAUGGGUAAAGAAGCACCGGCUAACUACGUG